UACCUUAACUAAAGGCUGCCACCUC
rnacentral:piRNA from 1 species